UGGUGGUUUCUGAUGUUGCCGUUGUAGUAUUUGUACUACAUGCCUCUGGUAUUCUUGCGGUUGCAGUAGACGGUGCAUCUGAGGACGUACCUGCUGUUGAUGAUCUGACUUCUGUCGUCGAUCCUACCGCAGCAGUGGUAGAGGUUGUUCCAGACAUCGUCGUCACAGCACUUGUUGAUGUUUCUGUUGUAGCUGUUGUAGUUGGAACUCCUGUGGAAGUCGCUGCUGUAGUAGAUGUGACUGCUGUCGUUUCAGCCACUGGAGUUGUUGUGGUCAUUUCAGGCGUGGUCGCUGCAGCACUUGAAGAUGUUUCUGUUGUUGCUGUUGUAGUCGGUGCUUCUGUGGAAGUAGCUGCAGUAGUAGUUGUGAAUUCUGUCGUUGUUUCUGUCACUGGAGUUGUGGUUGUUGCAGAUGUGGUCGUUGCAGCACUUGUAGAUGUUACUGUGGUUGAUGUUGUACUUGGUCCUCCUGUAGAAGUUUCUGUUGUUGCUGAUCUAGUUCCUGGUUCUGUGGAAGUAGGUGCUGUAGUCCUUGCUGUGACUUCUGUCAUCUCAACCAGUGGAGUAGUAGUGGUUGUAUCAGAUGUGGCCAUUGCAGCACUUGUUGAUGUUUCUGUUGUUGCUGUUGUAGUUGGUACUCCUGUGGAAGUAGCUGCUGUCGUAGUUGUGACUACUGUCGUUUCUGCCAGUGGAGUGGAUGUGGUUGUUUCAGACAUCGUCGUUGCAGCACUUGUUGAUGUUUCUGUUGUAGCUGUUGUAGUUGGUACUUCUGCGGAAGUCGCUGCUGUAGUAGCUGUGACUGCUGUCGUUUCAGCCACUGGAGUAGUUGCGGUCAUUUCAGACGUGGUCGUCACAGCACUUGUUGAUGUUUCUGUUGUAGCUGUUGUACUUGGUGCUUCUGUGGAAGAUGCUGCUGUCGUACUUGUGACUUCUGUCGCUGUUCCUGCUACUGCAGUAGUAGAGGUUGUUUCAGAUGUGGUCGUUGCAGGACGUCUAGAUGUCUCUGUUGUUGCUGUUGUAAUUUGUGCUUCUGAGAAAAUAGCUGCUGUAGUAGUUCGGACUUCUGUCCUAGUUUCUGCCACUGGAAUAGUAGUGGUUGCUUCAGAUGUGGUUGUCGCAAAACUUGUAGUAGAUGUUUCUGUUGUUCCAGUUGUAGUGGCUGCAUCUGUAGAACUGGCUGCAGCAGUAGCUAUGACUGCUGUCGUUUCAGCCACUGGAGUACUUGUGGUCAUUUCAGACGUGGUCGUCGCAGCACUUGUAGAUGUUUCUGUUGUUGCAGUUGUACUUGGUGCUUCUGUGGAAGUUGCUGCUGUCGUACUUGUGACUUCCGUCGUUGUUCCUGCCACUGCAGUGGUAGAGGUUGUUUCAGAGAUCGUCGUUGCAGCACUUGUUGAUGUUUCUGUUGUAGCUGUUGUAGUUGGUACUUCUGUGGAAGUCGCUGCUGUCGUAGCUGUGACUGCUGUCGUUUCAGCCAGUGGAGUUGUUGUGGUCAUUUCAGACGUGGUUGUCGCAGCACUUGUAGAUGUUUCUGUUGUUGCAGUUGUACUUGGUGCUUCUGUGGAAGUAGCUGCUGUCGUAGUUGUGACUUCUGUCGUUUCUGCCAGUGGAGUGGAUGUGGUUGUUUCAGACAUCGUCGUUGCAGCACUUGUUGAUGUUUCUGUUGUAGUUGGUACUCCGGUGGAAGUCGCUGCUGUCGUAGCUGUGACUGCUGUCGUUUCAGCCACUGGAGUUGUUGUGGUCAUUUCAGGCAUGGUCGUCGCAGCACUUUUAGAUGUUUCUUUUGUUGCAGUUGUACUUGGUGCUUCUGUGGAAGUUGCUGCUGUAGUAGCUGUGACUGCUGUCGUUUCAGCCACUGGAGUAGUUGUGGUCAUGUCAGACGUGGUCGUUGCAGCACUUGUAGAUGUUUCUG
rnacentral:lncRNA from 1 species